rnacentral:rRNA from 1 species
UACGUAGGGGGCGAGCGUUGUCCGGAUUUAUUGGGCGUAAAGAGCGUGUAGGCGGCCAGGUAGGUCUGCUGUGAAAACUCGAGGCUCAACCUCGAGACGUCGGCGGAAACCAUCUGGCUAGAGUCCGGAAGAGGAGAGUGGAAUUCCUGGUGUAGCGGUGAAAUGCGCAGAUAUCAGGAAGAACACCCGUGGCGAAGGCGGCUCCUCUGGGACGGUACUGACGCUGAGAUG